GAUGAACGCUGGCGGCGUGCCUAAUACAUGCAAGUCGAGCGAACAGACGAGGAGCUUGCUCCUCUGACGUUAGCGGCGGACGGGUGAGUAACACGUGGAUAACCUACCUAUAAGACUGGGAUAACUUCGGGAAACCGGAGCUAAUACCGGAUAAUAUAUUGAACCGCAUGGUUCAAUAGUGAAAGACGGUUUUGCUGUCACUUAUAGAUGGAUCCGCGCCGCAUUAGCUAGUUGGUAAGGUAACGGCUUACCAAGGCAACGAUGCGUAGCCGACCUGAGAGGGUGAUCGGCCACACUGGAACUGAGACACGGUCCAGACUCCUACGGGAGGCAGCAGUAGGGAAGCUGCCGCAAUGGGCGAAAGCCUGACGGAGCAACGCCGCGUGAGUGAUGAAGGUCUUCGGAUCGUAAAACGCUGUUAUUAGGGAAGAACAAAUGUGUAAGUAACUAUGCACGUCUGGACGGUACCUAAGCAGAAAGCCACGGCUAACUACGU
rnacentral:rRNA from 1 species